AAACCGUGAUGAGCACACUCUAAGAUAAAGUCUUUGAAACGUUCCAUGCAUCGAGAGAAUGAUUCAUUGGGUCAUUGGCGAAACUAGAGAAUGUCGUUCCUAAGUGU
rnacentral:snoRNA from 1 species